rnacentral:rRNA from 1 species
UACGAAGGGGGGCUAGCGUUGCUCGGAAUUACUGGGCGUAAAGGGCGCGUAGGCGGAUAGUUUAGUCAGAGGUGAAAGCCCAGGGCUCAACCUUGGAACUGCCUUUGAUACUGGCUAUCUUGAGUUCGGGAGAGGUGAGUGGAAUGCCGAGUGUAGAGGUGAAAUUCGUAGAUAUUCGGCGGAACACAGUGGCGAAGGCGACUCACUGG